rnacentral:lncRNA from 1 species
GUCAAGCGAAUCACAAAUUCUUACCCAUUCUUACCAAGUAGUAGAUGGUGAUUUGCAACAGUUGUAGUCAAAACUCUCAAUUUUAGAUAGAGCGAUUGCCAGGUGGUGUCAAAUACACAAAGUAGUUGUACAUGGACCUAGGAUAACUUACCGUAUGGUAGCAAAAAGGUCAUCAAUAAUCAAUUUAGAGAUGUAAAGUUGAAUAAACACUCAAUGACGGUACUCUACUAGUCCUAAGCUAGACCAUUCUAAAGAAGCGAGCCUAUAACACUAACAAAAUCACGACGCGCCACGUAAACAAGGGAGAAGCACACUCUGAAUCACUUUUUAUUCACUCUUUUUUCACUUUUCUUCAACUUUUUUUUUCACUUUUUUUCCAUUUUUUUGCUUAGCAACAAAAAAUUUCAAAAUUGUUUAUGAAUGGUCUAAAAACUGUCUAGCCAGAAUUUUCCAUGCAUAGUUUUUUAGUUUGAAACCAUUUUUCUUCCACGAGUGGUACAAAACUUGGGGAGUCCGACAUGAUCACGACACAUAGUAUGAUGUGAUCGAGAAAUCAAUAACAUAGAAGCGAAUAAUCAACUCGGAGUAGUAUUGGUGGUGGAGAUGUUAUCUGGUGGAACUCGGACUGGUGGUGGAGAUGAAUCUGGUGAAACUCGGACUGGUGGUAUAUAUGCUUUGGAGCUAGACUCGAAUUGGCGUGAUGGUGGCAUAUAUGUGUUGGAGGUGGACUCGGAUUGGUGUGAUGGCGGCAUAUAUAUGGUGGUGUAUAUGGACUCGGACUGGCGGCAGAUAUGCGGUGGUGGUAUAUGGCAGCGGUGAUGAAGAUGGUGUGGCGGCGGCGUGACAACCUGUGAACAAAACUCAAAAAUCUAAAGUACUAGAUGCUAAGACCAAUAACUCGACACGACGAUGUAACUGCAAAUUCAACAAAGCAAAACACUUUAAAGAUUAUACAAAAGGCUCAGAUUGGUUUGGAUAUGAUGAACUAACCCUAAUUUUUUUGGGGCUUUUUCGUGGACUGUAGGUAUGAAAGAAGACACGAUCUAGACUAUGAAAAGCUGGUAAAAUCUCACUGAGCAACUCAAAAAUCUGAUACCACUUGAUAGAAGCGAAGGUGUCCCGAUGUUUCGAUGAGAUGCAUCUAUAGUUUUCGGUCCUCCAUCCAUCCUUUAUAUACAUGGCCAGGGGCACCCCAUAGACACACAAAUUGAUCAUUGAUCUCUUAGCCAUGUGCGGUGCCCCCCUCCACCAUAAUCCACAUCGGUCAUAUCGUAGUGGUGCUUAGGCGAAGCCCUGUUCCGGUAGCACCAUCACACCGUCGUGCUGACGAAGGUCUCCCUCGACACUCUGCUGGAUCGUGAGUUCGUGGGAUGUCACCGAGCCGAACAUGUGCAGAUCGCGGAGGUGCCGUACUUUCGGUACUAGGAUCGGUCGAUCGUGAAGACGUACGACUACAUCAACCGCGUUGUCAUAACGCUUCCUCUUACGGUCUACGAGGGUACAUGGACAACACUCUUCCCCUCUCGUUGCUAUGCAUCACCAUGAUCUUGCAUGUGCGUAGGUUUUUUUUUGAAAUUACUACGUUCCCCAACAUAGUGCUAGUUCCAGUUUUCUGCAUGUUUUUUGUUUUUUGGAAAUCAAUACUAAACGAAGUCCAAACACGAUAAAACUUUACGGUGAUUUUUUCUGGACAAGAAGGGACACUAGAAGCUUUAGGAGGAGAUCAGACGAGAUAUGACAGAGCCACAAGAUCACAUGGCGCGGCCCCAGGGAGGCGCCACCUAAGUGUGUGGGCCCAUGCAGCUCCGUUUGACCUAAUUCCAAGCAUAUAAAUUCCCAUAAAUCCUGAAACCACAAAAAUCCACCCGAAACAAUUUUUCCACCAUCGCAAGCUUCUGUUCUUCCGCGAUCCCAUCUAGAGGCCUUUUUUGGUACUUUGCCAGAGGGGAAUCGAUCACGGAUGGCUUCUACAUCAACCUUGCUGCCUUUCGAAGAUGUGUGAUUAGUUUACCACAGACCUAUGGGUCCACAGCUUGUAGCUAGAUGGCUUCUUCUCUCUCUUUGAUCUUCAAUACAAUGUUCUCCAUGAUCUUCAUGGAGAUAGGUUCAAUGUAAUAUUCUUUUGUGGUCGUUUGUUGGGAUCCAGUGAAUUGUGGCUUUAUGAUCAGAUUACUCAUUGAAAGUAAUUGAGUCUUUUCUAAACUUUUAUUAUGCAUGAUCGUUAUAGCUUUGUAUUUCUCUCCGAUCUAUCCGUUUGGUUUGGCCAACUAGAUUGAUUUAUCUUCAGUGGGAGAGGUGCUUUCUGAUGGGUUCAAUCUUGCGGUGUCCUCACCCAGUGACAGUAAGAUUAGCGAGGCACAUAUUGUAUUGUUGCCAUUAAGGGUAAAACAACGAGGUUCAAUCAUAUUGCUUGAGUUUAUUCUGUCUACAUUAUGUCAUCUUGCUUAAAGCGUUACUCUGUUUGUCAUGAACUUAAUACCAUAGAUGUAUGUUGGAUAGCGAUCGAUUGGUGGAGUAAUGGUAGUAGAUGAAGAAUCGUUUCGGUCUACUUGUCACGGACGUAAUGCAUAUAUACAUGAUCAUUGCCAUGAAUAACAUCAAAACUAUGCACUUUUCCAUCAAUUGCCCAACGAUAAUUUGUCCACCCACCGUAUGCUAUGUUUUGAGAGAGAAGCCUCUGGUGAAAACUAUGGCCCGCGGGUCUACUUUUAUCAUAUUACAAAAACCAAAAAUACCUUGCUGCAAUUUUCUUUAUUUUAUUUUACUUUUCAUUUAUAUCUCUACCAAUACAAGAUUUGAUCCUUGCAAGUAACGAGUUCAAGGGGGUUGACGACACUCUUGCCCGUGUUGGGUGCAAGUAUUUGCUCUUGUGUGUGCAAUUGUUGUUCACUAUGAUUUGCGUGGUUCUCCUACUGGUUCAAUAACCUUGGUUCUCACUGAGGGAAAUACUGACCGCUACUAUAUUGCUUCACCCUUAAAUCCCAAUGCAACUCGCAAGUAGCAGUGGUAGACGCGCGAGCACUUCAUUAAACAUGGCCUCCAGCUUGGUGUCGAUUGUCUCUCAAUGCCAUCUAUCCUCUCAAUGGUCUGUCCAAAGAUGUUUAGCAUGUCUUGGACAUGUUCACCCAUCAUUUGCUGAAACUUAUCAUGUAGCUCCUUAUUCGUCAUGUUCUCCCAGUCUAGCUCAUCAACUUGUGAUCCUGUCAUGGUUAGCAAAAAUAGAAACACACAAGAAUAUGGUCCUAUAGACUACUAAUAGGAUGUGGUGUGGUGGAAAAUCACAGUACGUCAAGCGAAUCACAAAUUCUUACCCAUUCUUACCAAGUAGUAGAUGGUGAUUUGCAACAGUUGUAGUCAAAACUCUCAAUUUUAGAUAGAGCGAUUGCUAGGUGGUGUCAAAUACACAAAGUAGUUGUACAUGGACCUAGGAUAACUUACAGUAUGGUAGCAAAAAGGUCAUCAAUAAUCAAUUUAGAAAUGUAAAGUUGAAUAAACACUCAAUGACGGUACUCUACUAGUCCUAAGCUAGACCAUUCUAAAGAAGCGAGCCUAUAACACUAACAAAAUCACGACGCGCCACGUAAACAAGGGAGAAGCACA